UUUAGUUUUGAAGAUUUUUAAAUUUUAAUAUUUUAACAGCUGAGAGAUUCUAAGAGUUCUCAGCAAAAAGUAAAAACUACAUAUUAUACAGGGCUCUAAACCUUUACAAACCCAGGCAAUUCCCUCAGUGGGCCCCAUAAAGGUAGCCUAUAUUAGUUUCUCUUUGUUAAAGGGCACAAUACAAAGUAUUUCUGCAUGAACGCACGUAUUUGUAAUGUGUGACAUCUAGAGUCUUGUUGCUAUUUGUGUGUCUUUUAUGAAUUCUAUAACUGCUUUGACUGUAGGCUCAAUACUUUUUUUAAAGUAACAGUUUUUUGUUACCUUCUCAAGACGUUCUCUCGCUUUAGAGUGGCAGUCUAGGCCAUGUCUAUGUUUCAGACCAACAGUAAGAGACAUCAGCUGCUCAGCUCGCCAGCCAAUCAGCGCCUCUGUGGCGUGACGUCAUCAUAGUUCGGGGAGCGGUUCAAACGGACACGUUACAGCAGGUGAAGAAGCUGAGUGUUCUGAGCGCCGCGUCAGAGUGAAGUGUUCUACUGAAGGAGAAGCACUGAGGAUUGUGAGAACAGCACUUCAAUAGAAAUGGAUAUGAAACAGCAAAGCGAGCAGGAGUGCUCCCCCAGUCCCACAAGCUGUGGGUGCUGCAACUUUCACUUUCUCAGGUGGGCCCUCUUUCAUAGGAGGAUUGGCGUCCAGGACAGUCAGAGCGAGGACGACAAAACAAAGAGGCCCACAAAGAUGUCUACUGAAUGCAGCUCCUCGUCUCAGCCUGGUCCGGAGGUGCAGGAGAAGAAGACAGUACCAUUAGUGCCACUCGGAGAGCCGGUGGGGGUGCUGUCAGUGACCAUCAAGAGCUGCAAAGAUUUGACUACAUUUACUUAUGUAAAGCCAGGAACACUGGGAGCUGUGAGGGUCACUUUUGGAAAACUGCAGAGAAGCACAAAACUGCAGCUCUACAAGGACCCCAUGAUCUUCAAUGAAAAGAUGCACAUCUCCGUUCAGAUCAGCAAGGAAGAUGUUUUUGGGGACAACGACUCCAGUGUUCUGAUGGUGGAUUUGCUUUGUGUUGAUGCUCAUACACGCGUCUUCAGAAUCAUGGGCAACGACUCCAUUAGUCUAAUGGAAAUUUUAAAUAAUCCAUCACCAAUUUACUUGUUUGAUCUGAGGCUCCAAGAUCAAAAAGUUGGCACGGUGGACGCAGAGUUGGGGUUCACUUACGGCUUUAUGGGCUAUGGAUAUUCUCACCAGAUAACACACAGUGAAAAAACUGUAAAAAGUCUGGUGCAGAAAUCCUGCUUCCUCCGCUGCCCUCCUCUUGAGGAUCAAAGUGAUACACACGAGUAAGACGAGUAAUACACUUAUUCUGUAAAACAAUCAUUCAAAUUAUGCUGUUUUUCCAUCUCCACUGCCCUCUUUCUCUUUUAGUAAUGAUGUGAGCCCUUCUACACUGCCCCCAGUGGACCUCGACUCACUGAUACAGUCAGACUCAGUGAGUAGUUCUGAACCUGCAGGCCUAGUGGAACAAGCUAUAAGCAGGAGAGCCAGGUAAGUGUCGCACUUCUUGAGGGUUUAAGCGGAGACUGGCAUGGAUAAUCCUCACUGAACUUGAUCUGGGCUUGAGGGAACUAUAAAUGGUGAUACUGCACAUCCAUUAAUACAGCAUUUUAAUCACAAGAAAUUUAAACAUCUUUAGUUUUGAUGUAACUUUCAUUAUUAUUGUGUCUGUGUGUGUGGGAGUGAUGAUGUACAAGCUUACUGCUUUUGCAAUGUCUGGUGCUCAUGUGGUGCUGUAUUGUAUGUGACAGGGCCCAUCUAAGUAGGAGGAAGGGAGGAGGAGAUAGAAAGCCAAGGAGGAUAAAGAAACAUCCUGGCCAUGUUCGCACNNNNNNNNNNNNNNNNNNNNNNNNNNNNNNNNNNNNNNNNNNNNNNNNNNNNNNNNNNNNNNNNNNNNNNNNNNNNNNNNNNNNNNNNNNNNNNNNNNNNGUUUUUAUGACCAUAUUAUAAAUGUUUGAAAGUUUAGCACUCCUUCAUUUGAAGAGAAGGGCAGCUCUUUAUGGCUGUUCUUGUGUAUUUCAGUAGGUUGUUGCGGCAACUGAGGAACCAUUGGAGGACUGCAAGACAAAAUAUAAAAAAGAGAACAGGAAAGAUGGAAAAACAGGAAAGAGUGAAAAAAGAACAGCAUUCAAGAUGAAGAUGUAACCAACCCAGCCUGGUUGCCAUCACUACCAUCAUGACCUGUCUCCACUAAAUAGAGAUUUUAUUUAAAUAAAACCAAAGCAACAUUUUCUGCGUUUCUUUAA
rnacentral:lncRNA from 1 species